rnacentral:rRNA from 1 species
GGGUACAGAGUUUUGGAACCUGGCUCAGGACGAACGCGGCGGCGUGCCUAAUACAUGCAAGUCGAGCGGACAGAUGGGAGCUUGCUCCCUGAUGUAGCGGCGGACGGGUGAGUAACACGUGGGUAACCUGCCUGUAAGACUGGGAUAACUCCGGGAAACCGGGGCUAAUACCGGAUGGUUGUUUGAACCGCAUGGUUCAAACAUAAAAGGUGGCUUCGGCUACCACUUACAGAUGGACCCGCGGCGCAUUAGCUAGUUGGUGAGGUAACGGCUCACCAAGGCAACGAUGCGUAGCCGACCUGAGAGGGUGAUCGGCCACACUGGGACUGAGACACGGCCCAGACUCCUACGGGAGGCAGCAGUAGGGAAUCUUCCGCAAUGGACGAAAGUCUGACGGAGCAACGCCGCGUGAGUGAUGAAGGUUUUCGGAUCGUAAAGCUCUGUUGUUAGGGAAGAACAAGUACCGUUCGAAUAGGGCGGUACCUGACGU